rnacentral:rRNA from 1 species
GAUGAACGCUGGCGGCGUGCCUAAUUCAUGCAAGUCGAGCGAACAGACGAGGAGCUUGCUCCUCUGACGUUAGCGGCGGACGGGUGAGUAACACGUGGAUAACCUACCUAUAAGACUGGGAUAACUUCGGGAAACCGGAGCUAAUACCAGAUAAUAUAUUGAACCGCAUGGUUCAAUAGUGAAAGACGGUUUUGCUGUCACUUAUAGAUGGAUCCGCGCCGCAUUAGCUAGUUGGUAAGGUAACGGCUUACCAAGGCAACGAUGCGUAGCCGAACUGAGAGGGUGAUCGGCCACACUGGAACGGAGACCCGGUCCAGACUCCUACGGGAGGCAGCAGUAGGGAAUCUUCCGCAAUGGGCGAAAGCCUGAAGGAGCAACGCCGCGUGAGUGAUGCAGGUCUUCGGAUCGUAAAACUCUGUUAUUAGGGAAGAACAAAUGUGUAAGUAACUGUGCACGUCUUGACGAUACCUAAGCAGAUAGCCAGGGCUAACUACGUG